AGCCUAAUAGCUUAACUAAAAGCACAAAUCUUUUAAAUUUGGGGAUGUUCACACACUUUGGCUAG
rnacentral:tRNA from 1 species